rnacentral:rRNA from 1 species
GUGCAGCAGUCGAGAAUCUUCGGCAAUGGGCGAAAGCCUGACCGAGCGACGCCGCGUGCCCGAAGAAGCCUUUCGGGGUGUAAAAGGGCUUUUCUUGGGGAUAAAUUCGCUCCUCACUUUCGUUCGGAAUUAUAUUGAGAAACGAGCGGAAGUGAGGAGCGAAUGAUAGUACCCAAGGAAUAAGGGACCUCUAAUCACGUGCCAGCAGAGGCGGUAAUACGUGAGUCCCAAGCGUUAUCCGGAAUUACUGGGCGUAAAGCGUGCGUAGGCGGUCCAAAUAGUCAUGUGUUAAAUCCUUAAGCUCAACUUAAGGGCUGCAUAUGAUACGUUUGGACUAGACCCAGUCAGAGGCCGGCGGAACCCACGGUGUAGGGGUGAAAUCCGUUGAUAUCGUGGGGAACACCAAAGGCGAAGGCAGUCGGCUGGGGCUAAGGGUGACGCUGAGGCACGAAAGCGUGGGUAGCGAAGAGGAUUAGACUACCCCGGUAGU